UCUUUCCUACGGGGGGCAGCAGUGGGGAAUAUUGCACAAUGGGGGAAACCCUGAUGCAGCGACGCCGCGUGAGUGAGGAAGUAUUUCGGUAUGUAAAGCUCUCUCAGCAGGGAAGAAAAUGACGGUACCUGACUAAGAAGCCCCGGCUAACUACGUGCCAGCAGCCGCGGUAAUACGUAGGGGGCAAGCGUUAUCCGGAAUGAUUGGGCGUAAAGGGGGCGUAGGCGGCCUGCUAAGUCUGGAGUGAAAGGUACCGGCUCAACC
rnacentral:rRNA from 1 species